rnacentral:lncRNA from 1 species
AUGCUUAAACGGGUUUUGAGUCCAAGAUCCUGGAAAGAGCUCCGGAUGGGCAUCCACACGCAUCUUGGUUUCCCGGGUCCAAAGGCUGUAGUCUCUUCCUUACCACUGAGGACUGGAGAGCUUACAGGAAAGAACAUCUAUGAAGGACUUACCCAACAAAGCAUAGCACCAGCAAGCCUGGUGCAAAAUCAAGGGAAAAGUUUGAAAACAGAGAACUGCCUGGAUUAAAUGUUUAAGCUUUAUUCAUUGAUGACCUUGGAUUGUGCAGAGUGGUACUACCCUUCUGACCCUUAUGCUUUGUCCACUUCUGGAUGAUUUCCUUAUUGUAUAAGCUGAAUUAUGCAUCUGUACUCAUUUUGGCCUCCCUUUAGAACUGAAAGAUGAGUAACAUAAACCCUUUAAAUUUACUUUUAGUCACAUUUUAUAAAACAAUGAGUCACAUUUUUAAAUGAAUCAAAUAACAUUUCUAUAUCUAGAAUAAGCCAUGUGCCUCAGGAAGACAUUGACCAGCAUAUUAAUAAUAAAUGUCAACUAAAGAUUGUUUUUUUCUAAGAAUUCUGAAGUCUUCUGGAACAUUUAGUGCUUUUCUUUAGAAAUUACUUUCAGAACUGUAAGUGUAUUUUAUAAUAUUGUCAAUGGUGAUAAAUCUUCAUCCACCAACAUUGGAUUUGAUUUUUGUGUAUAGUCAAAAAUUCAGAGUUAAUUCUGUUGUAUAAUGCAAGUGAUUAAACUGGAUAAUGCCAAAUUUUUAUUUUAAGCAAGAGAUAUGGCUAUAACAUAAGUCACUAUGUUUUUGAAUAUGAUAGAUAAAUUCACUUGUAAUCUGCUCCGGUAGGGGAAUUAUAAAAUGAUAUUUUAUAUAGGAUUGUCAUUCUAAGGAUUAUUGAACAAAGAAUAUAAGAGGAUAUUUGCAAAUGGCAUAUAGGAUAAAGGGUUAGUAUCUAAAAUAUAUAAAGAAUGUUUAAAACUCAACGCUUAAAACAUGAAUAAUCCAAAUAAAAAAUGGAGAGAAGACAUGAAUGAAUACUUUUUCAAAGAAGACAUGCAAGUGACCAAUGGACACAUGACAAGAUGCUCAACAUCACUUAUCAUCAGGGAAAUGCAAAUCAAAACUACGAGAUAUCACCUCAUACCUGUCAGAAUGGUUAAAAUCAACAACAGCCAAAUAGCAGGUAUUGGCUAGGAUGUGGAGAAAGGGGAACCCUCUUGCACUGUUGAUGGGAAUGCAAACUGGUGCAGUCACUCUGGAAAACAGUGUGGAGGUUCCUCAGGAAGUUAGACAUAGAACUAGUCUAUAAUCCAGAAAGUGCACUACUGGAUCUCUACCCCAAAAAUACAAAAAUACAGGGGCACCUGGGUGGCUCAGUCGGUUAAGUGUCUGACACUUGAUUUUGACUCCGUUUAUGAUCUCAUGGUCAUGGGAUCGAGCUCCACAAAGGGCUCUGUGCUCACUGCAGAGUCUGCCUCAGAUUCUUUCAUCCUCCCCAUCUUCCCCUCCCUGCUCAUGUGCUCUCUCUCUUAACUAAAUAAAACCCUUUAAAAAAUAAAACAAAAAUACUAAUUCAAAGGGAUGCAUGCACUCUGAUGUUUAUAGCAGCAUCACCUACAAUAACCAAAUUGUGGAAACAGCCCUUGUCCAUCUACUGAUGAAUGGAUUAUAGAAGAUGUGGUAUAUAUAUACAAUGGGAUAUUGCCUAACCAUAAAAAGGAAUGAAAUCUUGCCAUUUGCAACAGUGUGGUUGGAGCUAGAGGGUAUUGUGCUAAGUGAAGUAAGUCAGAGAAAGACAAAUACCAUAUGAUGUCAGUCAUAUGUGGAAUUUAGGAAACAAAACAAAUGAGCAAAGGGAAAAGAGAAAAAGAGUGAGAAUGGCAAGCCAAGAAAGAGACUCUUAACUAUGGAGAACACACUGAUCUCGCCAGGAGGGACGUGGGUGGUGGCAUGGGUUUAAAUGGGUGAUAGACAUUAAGCAGUGCACUUGUGAUGAGCCCUAGGUAUAUAUAUAUAUGGAAAUGUUGAAUCAUUAUAUUGUGUACCUAAAGCUAAUAUUAAUUACACUGUAUGUUAACUAACUGGAAUUUAAAUAAAAACUUUAAAAAAUUCUCGUAUUAUAGUCAAAUUUAUAGAAACAUAGUAUUAUUUUUAAGUAAUAUAAAGAAAAAAAAUUCCCCAAACUACUUCUUUAAUAAUGAAAUUUAUUUUUAAAAAUAACAUCUGUUAUGCUAUUUUUCAUAUCUGGUGUUUUUUAUAACAAGCAAGGAAAAUAGGUAUAUUAUCAUUGUCUCCAUUGAAGAGGAGAUUUCUUUCAUAGGAGUAAUCAUCUUGCUCAAGAUAAUAUGGCAAAAAGUAUUGAAACUGGGCUAAGAACCUGAAUGCUCUAACUCCAAAUGCUAUGUUUUUAUAAGGUAAUUUACAUUUAAAUGCUUUGCAGAAGGAAAUUGGAGUAUAAAUGAAGAGCAUUAGAUAAAAUCUAGUCCUGGCUGUGUCCCUAACUAGCUGUGUGAUCUUCAGACAGUUUAUUUCACCCCUUGGGGCCCUUAGCACAGUUAUUUGUCAAAUGAGGGUUUUGUAUUUUUUUGUUUUUGUUUUUGUUUUCUUAGUUGUAGGCUAAGUUAAGAAACUCUGUAAGGAAAUACUAUCAAACACUAUUUAAAGAGCAGGAUAGAGGAAGUAUUUAAAUAAGCCUUACAAAUAUUACAAAGAAAUCAGUCAGCUUUACCAAGCCAACUUCAUAUAACAACCACAAAGGAUUAAUACAAAUUUUAUUGAAUGGAAAUGAAGAAUGUUUAAAAGCACAUGAGCCACUAUGGAAUCAUGAAAGUUAGUAAAAUAUAUUUAUGAUUGUCUUGUUAACUUAGUUAAACUUGCUGAGCACCCUUUGCAUGUGUUUGCUUAUUACAAAACCAGCUCAGAGAAUAGACAGAUGUGGAAAAAUCUGUAAUUUAAGGAAAGAACAGAGACACAAGAGUUGUUGCUAUUAGUAUAUCUCAAACUCUAUUUCUAGGAUUCACAUCUGUGUGACUUAAAGCCAACGGACAAUAAAAUGAUGUAUGUGAUUGUAAAUGAAGUUAUACAAUUCUGUUAAAUAGUGUCCCGGGUUGGUUUUCCCAAGAAGUACACUCUGAGGGGGAGUAUAGUACCUAGAAAGUUUAUUAAGGGAGGGAGUACACUUCAGAUCACUGCCUGUGGAAUAGAAAGGAACAAAUUGGGUGCAGGGAAGGCUCAGCCAACCCUGCUGGGGUUCUGAAGACAUAAUGCCCCUUCAGACCUGUUCCAGUUAGAAUACAAAGGCAGAGUCUUUAUGCCUCCACUUGGAUCAGUCACUGGAUAUGGACUAUUAGGGCUUUAAUUUUAAAGAACAAAUGCAGGUCCUGAGUAAUAUUGUUUAUUAAUCAUGUUAUUUAUUAUGAUUGAUAAUUAUGGUCGUUUAUCAUUAUAGGAAUCAAGUAUGCAGGUUCAGCAUAGCCCUGUUGUGAGUAAUACUCAUCCUUUAUCUGGGAUUCAAAGUCACCUAACUGUGACUUUGGCCUCCUACCAAAAUGGAGCUAACUAGACCACAAGUUGUGUUACCUCUAGAUGCCACUUGAUUUAUUUGCAUGUGAUUUUUCUCACUGCAAUGUCUUUACAAAAUGUGGAGGUGCCAUUGCCAGGGCAACAAGGAAUGUUGCACAUGAAGUUGAGCCUUUACUAAAAUUUUAAUUCUCCCUGUCUGAACUCCCACUGACUCCUGGCUUAUCCUUAUAUUGUAGCCAGAAAACAAACAUCAUGGAGUUCACACUUCUGUUUCUCUGUUCCCUCUGUUUCCUCCCAUGGUCGUGGUAACCUAUACACUUUCUCCUAAGUUGACACACAAUGAAUUUAUUUCUUCUAACUAAUGUUGACACUUUUUCCUUGUCCGAUUCAAUAAUUCCCCUUUGUGUUGAAUACUAUCUACUCAACAUAGCUCAUGGUAUGGCUAUGCCAUAUUUGCC